rnacentral:tRNA from 1 species
GGAGGGAUACCCAAGCGGCCAACGGGGGCAGACUGUAAAUCUGCUGGCGGAAGCCUUCGGGGGUUCGAAGCCUCCUCCCUCCACCA